rnacentral:misc_RNA from 1 species
UCCGGUUUGUCACCGGCAGUCUCGCAUGAGUCCCCAACUUAAUGCUGGCAACAUGCGACGGGGGUUGCGCUCGUUGCGGGACUUAACCCAACAUCUCACGACACGAGCUGACGACAGCCAUGCACCACCUGUGAAGGUGCCCCGAAGGGAGGCCCUAUUUCUAGGGCUUUCCAGUGCAUGUCAAGCCUUGGUAAGGUUCUUCGCGUUGCGUCGAAUUAAACCACAUGCUCCACUGCUUGUGCGGGGCCCCGUCAAUUCCUUUGAGUUUCAGCCUUGCGGCCGUACUCCCCAGGCGGGGCACUUAAUGCGUUAGCGCCGGCACCCAGGGGGUCGCUCCCCCAGGCACCUAGUACCCAUCGUUUACGGCGUGGACUAC